AUUGAACGCUGGCGGCAUGCUUUACACAUGCAAGUCGGACGGCAGCACAGAGAAGCUUGCUUCUUGGGUGGCGAGUGGCGAACGGGUGAGUCAUAUAUCGGAACGUACCGAGUAAUGGGGGAUAACUAAUCGAAAGAUUAGCUAAUACCGCAUAUUCUCUGAGGAGGAAAGCAGGGGACCUUCGGGCCUUGCGUUAUUCGAGCGGCCGAUAUCUGAUUAGCUAGUUGGUGGGGUAAAGGCCUACCAAGGCGACGAUCAGUAGCGGGUCUGAGAGGAUGAUCCGCCACACUGGGACUGAGACACGGCCCAGACUCCUACGGGAGGCAGCAGUGGGGAAUUUUGGACAAUGGGCGCAAGCCUGAUCCAGCCAUGCCGCGUGUCUGAAGAGGGCCUUCGGGUUGUAAAGGACUUUUGUCAGGGAAGAAAAGGCUGUUGCUAAUACCGACAGCUGAUGACGGUACCUGAAGAAUAAGCACCGGCUAACUACGUG
rnacentral:rRNA from 1 species